rnacentral:rRNA from 1 species
GGCGGCCGUAACAAUAACGGUCCUAAGGUAGCGAAAUUCCUUGUCGGGUAAGUUCCGACCUGCACGAAUGGCGUAAUGAUGGCCACGCUGUCUCCACCCAAGACUCAGUGAAAUUGAAAUCGCUGUUAAGAUGCAGUGUAUCCGCGGCUAGACGGAAAGACCCCGUGAACCUUUACUAUAGCUUCACAGUGGACUUUGAAUUUAUUUGUGUAGGAUAGGUGGGAGACUUUGAAGCGUUGUCGCUAGAUAGCGUGGAGUCAACCUUGAAAUACCACCCUGAUAACUUUGAGGUUCUAACUUAGGUCCCUAAUCGGGAUUGAGGACAUUGUGUGGUGGGUAGUUUGACUGGGGCGGUCUCCUCCCAAAGAGUAACGGAGGAGCACGAAGGUACCCUAAGGACGGUCGGAAAUCGUCCGCUUAGUGUAAUGGCACAAGGGUGCUUGACUGCGAGAGUGACAACUCGAGCAGGUGCGAAAGCAGGUCAAAGUGAUCCGGUGGUUCUGUAUGGAAGGGCCAUCGCUCAACGGAUAAAAGGUACUCUGGGGAUAACAGGCUGAUACCGCCCAAGAGUUCACAUCGACGGCGGUGUUUGGCACCUCGAUGUCGGCUCAUCACAUCCUGGGGCUGAAGCCGGUCCCAAGGGUAUGGCUGUUCGCCAUUUAAAGUGGUACGCGAGCUGGGUUUAGAACGUCGUGAGACAGUUCGGUCCCUAUCUGCCGUGGACGUUUGAGAUUUGAGAGGGGCUGCUCCUAGUACGAGAGGACCGGAGUGGACGAACCUCUGGUGUUCCGGUUGUCACGCCAGUGGCAUUGCCGGGUAGCUAUGUUCGGAAUAAAUACGGAAGAGAUAAACGCUGAAAGCAUCUAAGCGUGAAACUUGCCUUAAGAUAAGAUUUCCCUGAGGACUUGAUCCUCCUGAAGGGCCGUUGAAGACCACGACGUUGAUAGGCUGGGUGUGGAAGCGCAGUAAUGCGUUAAGCUAACCAGUACUAAUUGCCCGU